GAAACUGCCUGAUGGAGGGGGAUAACUACUGGAAACGGUAGCUAAUACCGCAUAACGUCGCAAGACCAAAGAGGGGGACCUUCGGGCCUCUUGCCAUCGGAUGUGCCCAGAUGGGAUUAGCUAGUAGGUGGGGUAACGGCUCACCUAGGCGACGAUCCCUAGCUGGUCUGAGAGGAUGACCAGCCACACUGGAACUGAGACACGGUCCAGACUCCUACGGGAGGCAGCAGUGGGGAAUAUUGCACAAUGGGCGCAAGCCUGAUGCAGCCAUGCCGCGUGUAUGAAGAAGGCCUUCGGGUUGUAAAGUACUUUCAGCGGGGAGGAAGGGAGUAAAGUUAAUACCUUUGCUCAUUGACGUUACCCGCAGAAGAAGCACCGGCUAACUCCGUGCCAGCAGCCGCGGUAAUACGGAGGGUGCAAGCGUUAAUCGGAAUUACUGGGCGUAAAGCGCACGCAGGCGGUUUGUUAAGUCAGAUGUGAAAUCCCCGGGCUCAACCUGGGAACUGCAUCUGAUACUGGCAAGCUUGAGUCUCGUAGAGGGGGGUAGAAUUCCAGGUGUAGCGGUGAAAUGCGUAGAGAUCUGGAGGAAUACCGGUGGCGAAGGCGGCCCCCUGGACGAAGACUGACGCUCAGGUGCGAAAGCGUGGGGAGCAAACAGGAUU
rnacentral:rRNA from 1 species